CACGCUCGAUCUCAAGAAAACAAAGACUGUGGACUACGUGGGAGGUGAUUGGACCAGAUAUGGGUUCACGAAACUUUACCCCUAUCUCAAUUUACAGUCAUACGAAAGGAGAACCCAAAACCAAGAGAGGGAGUACUACAGAAGUCCAAGCAAUUUGGGACAGGGAAACAAUGGAGUGUGUCUUUCGUAUUUGAAUCUCUGAUGAUUAUAAGGGUUUGGAAAGAUGCAUCUUUAUAUGGUGAUGAACUUCAACAGUAAAAAGGGGGAAGAGAUAGAUCAAAGAACGAACACAAAAUUUGAGCAAUGGAGAGGCACUGAAUCUCUUAAUUUGGUUGAAUGGUAUUGUACUUAUUGUUCUGGUGCCUAAAGGGUGAAUUACUAACUGCCACAUAGAAUAGGCCUUGAAGAUCAAGCCUGUGCAUUUGAAGAAUCAUUUGGCUUUCAAAGUCCACAAUCUAUAUGGAGUAUGGAAAGUUAAAACUUGGUUUAAUUACAAAGGCUGUUUAUUACAAUUGGAGAUUUUGUAAUGCAUAUUGCAACUUCAAAGUUUUGAUUUGUUCUCUUUGAUGUAGCUGACAAUGGUUGAUGAUUACUUUUCCUAACUUUAUGAGAAAUCAAGUUUCAUAUGCCCAUGUGAAUUUUGGUGCCUAUAAUAAUGUCUUUUCUACUAAAGCAUGAUAAAAGUUUAUAAGUUCCAGGUUUGCUUAAGUUGAUAAAAGUUUAGGUUGUUAUCGUUCUCACAUUAGCUGCUAGCCAUUGCGGCCUUAAUCUACUCGGAAUCCGUAUAUAUAUUUGCCCAUGUUUUGGUUUAGUGAAGUUUUUUAUGGUUGCUACUUUUUUUCCCAGGAUCAUGUGCUUCCUUCCAUUUUGGAUCUUUACUUGGGUUUUCAGAGCAUUUUUCUCAAUUGUAUUUGCAUUUUGUUUUGUGAUCUUACAGUUUUAGUUUUAUGUUCAUUGUAAUUUUUUUUCAUAAGCGGUAAAGUUGAUGUCCUCCUUCUAUUAUACUUUUUUUCCUUUAUAUGUUAAAAAAAAAUGGAGGAAGGGUUGCCGGGUAUUAUUGGAGUGUGUGGAUGCAUGCUUUCCAUCCCUUUAUACUUUCACCAAUUUGAGAAGAUCAACAAGUCGAUAUUACUCGAGAGAAAU